rnacentral:rRNA from 1 species
AUUGAACGCUGGCGGUAUGCUUAAGACAUGCAAGUCGUGCGGUAGGAAGGCUUCGGCCUUUGAGAGCGGCGGACGGGUGAGUAACACGGUGGGAAUCUGCCUAUUAGUGGGGGACAGCCCAGCGAAAGCUGGAUUAAUACCGCAUACGCCCUACGGGGGAAAGCAGCAAUGCGCUAAUAGAUGAGCCCGCGUAAGAUUAGCUAGUUGGUAAGGUAAAGGCUUACCAAGGCGACGAUCUUUAGCUGGUCUGAGAGGAUGGCCAGCCACAUCGGGACUGAGACACGGCCCGGACUCCUACGGGAGGCAGCAGUCGGGAAUAUUGGACAAUGGGCGCAAGCCUGAUCCAGCAAUACCGCGUGUGUGAAGAAGGCCUGCGGGUUGUAAAGCACUUUCAGUUGGGAAGAUAAUGACGUUACCAACAGAAGAAGCACCGGCUAACUCCGUGCCAGCAGCCGCGGUAAUG